CCUAAUCAAAGAGGUAUUAUGACAUCCAGAAACACCAACAGAGCAAGACUGAAUUUGCUGAAUGCCUCAGAGGUAUACAUACCCUGUACAAGAAAUGGAUCAAGGGCAAAAGGUCUUCAGGAGACAGGGAAAGGCAUGGAGACACUGAGUGAAUGAAAGAGACCAAAUAUAAAGCCUAGAUUGCAAAGCAGGUGUGCCUCCUCUGAAAGACAGACAAAACAAUGGCAAGAGAAUGGGCUCUCGGUUUCUACAGGGUGUGAAUUCAAACAAAAGAUGAUGACAGUGACAUCUCAAGCUGCGAGCACCCCUUGCAGAGAGGGUCUACUGUGCACAAUGACCUCAGUGCGAGGCUCAGCGCAAGGCUAAUGUCAGACGCUACCCGUCUCCUGUCCGGCUCCCUGAAUUUCCUCCCGUGGAAGGCAGGCUCACCUGGGAAAAGGGAAAAGGAGAUGCGAAAUCCGAAAGUGGGACCGGAACCCACUUUU